AAAUUGAAGAGUUUGAUCAUGGCUCAGAUUGAACGCUGGCGGCAGGCCUAACACAUGCAAGUCGAGCGGUAGCACAGAGAGCUUGCUCUCGGGUGACGAGCGGCGGACGGGUGAGUAAUGUCUGGGAAACUGCCUGAUGGAGGGGGAUAACUACUGGAAACGGUAGCUAAUACCGCAUAACGUCGCAAGACCAAAGUGGGGGACCUUCGGGCCUCAUGCCAUCAGAUGUGCCCAGAUGGGAUUAGCUAGUAGGUGGGGUAACGGCUCACCUAGGCGACGAUCCCUAGCUGGUCUGAGAGGAUGACCAGCCACACUGGAACUGAGACACGGUCCAGACUCCUACGGGAGGCAGCAGUGGGGAAUAUUGCACAAUGGGCGCAAGCCUGAUGCAGCCAUGCCGCGUGUGUGAAGAAGGCCUUCGGGUUGUAAAGCACUUUCAGCGGGGAGGAAGGCGGUGAGGUUAAUAACCUCAUCGAUUGACGUUACCCGCAGAAGAAGCACCGGCUAACUCCGUGCCAGCAGCCGCGGUAAUACGGAGGGUGCAAGCGUUAAUCGGAAUUACUGGGCGUAAAGCGCACGCAGGCGGUCUGUCAAGUCGGAUGUGAAAUCCCCGGGCUCAACCUGGGAACUGCAUUCGAAACUGGCAGGCUAGAGUCUUGUAGAGGGGGGUAGAAUUCCAGGUGUAGCGGUGAAAUGCGUAGAGAUCUGGAGGAAUACCGGUGGCGAAGGCGGCCCCCUGGACAAAGACUGACGCUCAGGUGCGAAAGCGUGGGGAGCAAACAGGAUUAGAUACCCUGGUAGUCCACGCCGUAAACGAUGUCGAUUUGGAGGUUGUGCCCUUGAGGCGUGGCUUCCGGAGCUAACGCGUUAAAUCGACCGCCUGGGGAGUACGGCCGCAAGGUUAAAACUCAAAUGAAUUGACGGGGGCCCGCACAAGCGGUGGAGCAUGUGGUUUAAUUCGAUGCAACGCGAAGAACCUUACCUGGUCUUGACAUCCACAGAACUUUCCAGAGAUGGAUUGGUGCCUUCGGGAACUGUGAGACAGGUGCUGCAUGGCUGUCGUCAGCUCGUGUUGUGAAAUGUUGGGUUAAGUCCCGCAACGAGCGCAACCCUUAUCCUUUGUUGCCAGCGGUCCGGCCGGGAACUCAAAGGAGACUGCCAGUGAUAAACUGGAGGAAGGUGGGGAUGACGUCAAGUCAUCAUGGCCCUUACGACCAGGGCUACACACGUGCUACAAUGGCAUAUACAAAGAGAAGCUACCUCGCGAGAGCAAGCGGACCUCAUAAAGUAUGUCGUAGUCCGGAUUGGAGUCUGCAACUCGACUCCAUGAAGUCGGAAUCGCUAGUAAUCGUAGAUCAGAAUGCUACGGUGAAUACGUUCCCGGGCCUUGUACACACCGCCCGUCACACCAUGGGAGUGGGUUGCAAAAGAAGUAGGUAGCUUAACCUUCGGGAGGGCGCUUACCACUUUGUGAUUCAUGACUGGGGUGAAGUCGUAACAAGGUAACCGUAGGGGAACCUGCGGUUGGAUCACCUCCUUACCUUAAAGAA
rnacentral:rRNA from 1 species